rnacentral:rRNA from 1 species
AUGAACCCUGGCGGCGUGCCUAAUACAUGCAAGUCGAGCGAACGGACGAGAAGCUUGCUUCUCUGAUGUUAGCGGCGGACGGGUGAGUAACACGUGGAUAACCUACCUAUAAGACUGGGAUAACUUCGGGAAACCGGAGCUAAUACCGGAUAAUAUUUUGAACCGCAUGGUUCAAAAGUGAAAGACGGUCUUGCUGUCACUUAUAGAUGGAUCCGCGCUGCAUUAGCUAGUUGGUAAGGUAACGGCUUACCAAGGCAACGAUGCAUAGCCGACCUGAGAGGGUGAUCGGCCACACUGGAACUGAGACACGGUCCAGACUCCUACGGGAGGCAGCAGUAGGGAAUCUUCCGCAAUGGGCGAAAGCCUGACGGAGCAACGCCGCGUGAGUGAUGAAGGUCUUCGGAUCGUAAAACUCUGUUAUUAGGGAAGAACAUAUGUGUAAGUAACUGUGCACAUCUUGACGGUACCUAAUCAGAAAGCCACGGCUAACUACGUG